rnacentral:lncRNA from 1 species
GGCCAUACCCGCAGCGUAUGGAGGUUCCCAAGCGAGGAGUCCAAUUGGAGCUACAGCUGCUGGCCUACACCACAGCCACAGCAACACAGGAUCUGAGCCACCUCUGCGACCUACACCACAGCUCAUGGCAGUGCCAGAUCCUUAACCCACUGAGCAAGGCCAGGAAUCGAACCCGAAACCUCAUGGUUCCUAGUUGGUUUCAUGCCCGAAACCUCAUGGUUCCUAGUAGGAUUCAUUUCCGCUGCACUACAAUGGGAACUCCAGACUCACAUAUUUUGAAACCAAACUCAUGGUUACCAAAGGGAAAACAUUGAGGAGAGGGAUACAAUGGAAAGUUGGGAUUGACCUAUAUACACUAUGCAGGAAAUGGAUGAGUAACAAGGUCCUACUUAUAACACAGGGAAAUCUACUCAAUACCCUGGAAUGGAAUGGAUAUAUGUAUAUGUAUAACUGAUUCACAUUGCUGUACACCUGAAACUAACACAACAUUGUAAAUCAACUCCAUUCCAGUAAAAUGUAAUUUAAAAAAUAAGGCAUAGGAGACUGGAAAAAUGACCACAGAUUCUUUCCAUCUCUGCACGGAUGUCCUUAACAUCAAGAGGUGGGGCAUUUCUAGGCUUGGUCAUGUGACUUCUUUGGCCGAUGUGACAAUAGUAACUGUGACGUAAGCAGAGACUUGCAAAGCACUUGCACCUUGGGACUUGCAUUCUCUUUCUGUGCUUGGACCCCUGAGAUGACCAUGUGAAUAAGCCCAGCCUAGCCUGCUGGAGGAUGAGAUUCAUGUGGCCCAAUUACUUCUCCAACCCUUGCUGACAGCCUGCCAACUACCACCAUGAGUGUGAAGUAUCCCUAGACCUUUCAGCCAUCCGCCAACCCAUUAACUAAACAUAGUCACAUGAGAAAGCCUAGCAGAGAUCUGCUAUAUCAACCCAGACCAAAAAAAAAAAAAAACCACCUGGCAGACCCACCUAAUCAUGAGCUAAAUAAAAUAAUUGUUAUUUUAAACAAUUAAUUUGGGGGAUGCUUUUUUACGCAGCAAAAGCUAACCAAUUCAGAAAAGACAUUCAUUGAGCAUCUCUCUAUGAAAAGUACUGCAUAAGACCUUUUCUGUAAAUUUCCUUAUUACAUAAUUACUGUGACUCCAUGAAGUAGAUAAUAAUGUUCCCCACUUUAUGCUGAGGAAACUGAAGCUCAGAGAAUUUAACCCAUUGGUCAGUUCAGAGAUGCAGUGGAGCUAGGAAUAAACUCUGAAGCUAAUAUGGACUUAACCUGCUAAGGGGGUACCUGCCAAGGGAAGGGUUUGUAGAGCAGGAGUGAAUUCUGACCUUCAAGGGCUCAGAAUUCUUGGUCUGCAAGGCUGUUUGCCUUGAUGCUUUACUCCUGGAGAGCUGUAUGCUGCAUGGGGAAAGGAGUAUGCUGAGUCCAGAAACCCUUAAAGAAGAUGGGGUCAUGAUGAAAGGUAUACAGAGAAGGGGUCAAGGCAGUGCUUUACAACUGAAAUGCCUCAUAAGACCAGCUUAUGCGAGCCCUGUUUCUAAAUGAUCAAUUCCAAUCUCAUUAUGACCGCAGCUGCCAUUAACUCAGGAGCUAAUUGCUAUUAGCUUGUAGAAACUCAGGAGGGUUUAGCUGCAAAAAUUCCAUGACAUGGGGCCAUCUUACUGCUUAAAUGGCCACAUUUCUGUUAUUAAUUCCAUUUGACUAUUAGCUUAUUACUGUUAAGUUAUUAUAACUUUGUAUGAAGUCCUUGAACUGGAUGCAUGUCCUCCAUGCACAUUUCAUUACAGGGAGAAGCGUGAACCCAAAGGUUCAGUAUUUUAAUUUUCAUUUUUCUUUAAGGUAUAGACUUAUUAAGAAGCAUCAGGAAGGUCCGUGGUUUGGAAGAUGGCUCCAUAAACGAAGGCCAUAACAAAAACCAGAUUUUGCUCCACAUUUUUAGGCAAUUAAGGUCUUGGCAAGUGUAGAACGCGUCUGGGCAACAACAAAGUUUAGCACUGGAAGGGCCCUUGGAGCCUCUAGUCCGUUCUCAUGUUACAGUUGGGGAAACUGAGGACAGAAGAUGGGGCAGGAUUCGGGUAAGACAAAAUGCCAUGUGUGCCUCAGGCAGAUGACAUUAUCUGAAAUAGCCAGGUCCAGGUUAUAGAUAAAUCAAAAGUCUGCUGAGGAUGCCAAAUAAGCAAGAUUGCCAGUGCUAGACAAUUACAGCCGGUUCCUCAUAUUCCCUGCGAAAGAUACCUACGUGCUAAGAAACGGGCCAAGACGCAAUCAUUUACUCCUUUUCAGUGCAGAGCCAGCUGGAUGGAGAGCUACAUGACAGUGUGUGAAAUUAGACAUAUUUAACGGGUGACGACAAGGUUCUUUCUGUCUACGUUCAGAAGCCUCCCUUAACGAGCUCCAGUCGGUUUGUUAAGAAAAUAAGAGUGUGUGCAAUUACCAAGUUCACCGUUUGUUUUUGUUUAACUUUGUAGCUUCUUCCCAGGAUGCAUUGGGAAAUGUCUGGAAAAAUGUCAGCACUUGUUGCUAAGCAGAGCCUGGCGCUGGGAGGUGUUCUCUUAGUGCUCUCUGGAGUCCCUCUCUGGCCAGGUCUAGGGAAGCUGCUGGAGGUGUGGGGGCGGCGGGGGGGGGUAGUGCUUAGGGAGACAGUGUUCUGACUGAUGAACCAGCUGUUGCCAACCCGCUGUAUGACUGGGAGUGUUGUGGUCCCUCUCAGAGCCUCAGUUUUCUCAUUUGUACAUCUGAAGAAGAGGAGCUGGGGAGCCUUCAGUCCUUUCCUCUCCCAGAUGUCUAUUUUAAAUCUCUUUUAUUGGAUUUUUGCUCUUAAAAGCAUGGAGGAGGGAGGUGAUAGGAUGGAGCAAAGGAAAUUGGCAGCUUGAAUGCAGGGUUUUCUCUGAGGUCAGGGUUUCUGAAAGGAUCCUAAUUAAAGCCAAGUGAGCUCUUUUGAGUAAAGAUCUCCGUAGAGUUGCUUGUUGACCUUGGGAGGUAGGGACAACUGAAUGACAGAGAAAGGGAAAGGAGAGAAAAGAGAGCAGAGAGGGGAAAAAAAGAGUCAGAAAAGGGCACAGAAGCACAAAGGAAAAGGGAGAGGAAGGAAAGGAGACGGAAUGGAGGCAAUGAGGAGGAGGAGACAGGCAGACUCAGGACAAGAGGAGAGAUUUAAAGCAAGGAGACAAGAUGGUGAAAAUUAGAAGGGAGGAGACGAGAGCGAAGGAAAAUAAAAAGUCAGGAGAGACCCCGAUGAUGGGGUAAUGGACGUGUACACAUCUAUUGGUUACUUUUUAGAGCAUACGGAAUAGAAACAGGGCUCCCUUGCAGCAUGGUUGGGAGGGUGAAAUGGGAGAAGGUAUGCGAAAGCAGGAAGCUUUUUUUUUUUUUUUUUUAAGUAAACACCUGGACAAGGUUUUGACAUGCUGCACAUGCAGUAAUAGGCAAUUUUUGUCCAGGCAUUGUGAAAUGUAGCACAGGAUUGCCUGCUCACGGUCAACCUUUCCUCAAAACUGUGAUACUUCAACUGUUGUGCCUGUUUCCACUCUCAGAUGGUAACUGACAUUAUAAGUCAAUAGCUUUAUGGAAUCCCUGCAAAUCCCUUCCCUCUUCCUGCCACCCUGGAGAGACACAGUUGUGUUUUACCUAGAAACAAAGCAGCUGCACCCCAGGGUAGACAUGUGAAGAGAGAGGGAGAUAAUCUCUCUCUGAGCCCUUUUUCCUGGUGACCCACCUCCUAACUGGAGCGCAAUCUGCAGCCCUCCAUGGCUUGGCUGGCUCGCGGUUCCCCAUCAGCGGCUACAGGAAGACAGGCGCUUGGGGAGGCUGGGGGAGGCAAUUUGAUGCAGCGGCUUUAUCCCUUCCAGUUCUCUUGCUUCUGGGUCAGGUAAUUUGGCCGCAAACAGCACACAAAGAUGAAACAUGUUGUUCCCUCAUUGCUCAGUGGCUCACCCCCAGGUUCCAAAGGUCUCUAAGCUAUGAAAACAAAACAAAACAAAAGAGAGCCCCUCUCAGGGCUGCCGAGUCCUUUCAACCUCUUGGUUUGCCUUGAUUUUGUCAGUUCCACCCAGAGGACAGGACCAGAUGUGAUGGUCCAAGUUGGAAAGGUAAUAUGUAGUCUGUUUUCUGAAGAAAAAAGAUGGAAGCUGAGAUGAAAUUCUGCCAGUUCUAAUAGAAGGGGUCUUCAGCACUCCAGGCCUCCCUUCCCUUGUUCUUAACCCUCUUCCAUUCAGGGUCUACCCUGUUGCCUGAGAUACAGGGAUGAUUGUAGCACUUCCCUGGUUAUAAACUAUCAAUGGCCCCUUAUUGUUUAUAAGAUGAAAUUCAAAGUCUGUAGCUCAGCGUUCAAGGCCUUUUUAAUUUGGUCUCACUCUGUUUUUUUCAGUCAGAUUCAUGACCCAUAUAAUAGAUGUCUUACCUCCACCUAACAGACCCCCUCUUUGGACUGUAAGUUUGCUAUGAGGGAGAGUCUGUGUCACUCACCUUUGCAUCUGUAGUUCUUGGUCCAUCAUGUGCUCUGUGCAAAUGUGCAGGGAAGGAAGAAGAGAAGGACUGAUUAAUACUGGGCCCCUUACUUUUCCCCAGCAGGCCAUGCUCACCAGUUCCUCUGUGGCUUCUUGCUCUUGCACUCCUAACAUUCUCUACCUACCAAAUAUGUAGACCUGUUGUUUCUAGAUCCAGAGGAAGCUGUGUGUGGGGAUACCGUCUCCACUGCAGCAAUCCGUCCAUUCGAGCUCCUGCUAUGUGUCAGGGACUGUUCUGUGUGCUGAGGAUACCGCUUUGGACAAGACAGACAACACCCCUGUCCUGGAACAGAUGUCUGGUGGAAAACAGUCAUCAAAUGAGUAUGAAUGUUAUGCUCUAUAGCAGAAGUGACUGGAGAAAAUUCAAGCAGGGAGGGGAUGACAGUGGUUCCGGUUGAUAAGAAUGACCAGGCAGGUGUCUCCAGGGAGGGAAGAUACCACGCUUUUGUGUUCCCCAUGGAGUCUGGCCCCCUGUGUCUCCUCCAAGCUUUGCCUCAUGAAUUAUCUCUUUUCUAUCUCACAGAGUCAAGCCACUGCUUCCAUGGGCGUCUUCCCCUUAACCUAAUGAACAUGCCAAUGAACAGGUCCCAUUCUGAAGAAAACAGCCCCUCUGACCUCAUGCCCCCUCUUCGGAUGGUGCUCUCUUUUCUGCCUCCUCGUAAUGGUGACAAAGAACUUGCAAUGUGGGUCUCCAUUUCCCUGUCUCCUGGGUCUGCUGUCUCCCCUGCCCUGACAUCUGCUCCCAGCCUCUAGUGCAUCCAUUCUUGGCCUCAAUCCGGUGACCCCA